rnacentral:rRNA from 1 species
UACGAAGGGGGCUAGCGUUGCUCGGAAUCACUGGGCGUAAAGGGUGCGUAGGCGGGUCUUUAAAUCAGGGGGGAAAUCCUGGAGCUCAACUCCAGAACUGCCUUUGAUACUGAAGAUCUUGAGUUCGGGAGAGGUGAGUGGAACUGCGAGUGUAGAGGUGAAAUUCGUAGAUAUUCGCAAGAACACCAGUGGCGAAGGCGGCUCACUGGCCCGAUACUGACGCUGAGGCACGAAAGCGUGGGGAGCAAACAGG